CUGCACGUUAAUUAUUUUGUUACGGAUCAAGGACUGGAGAAAGACACACACAAGACGCACCAAACGAUUCUGAAAAAGAGAAAGCAAAUUUAGUGUACCCAUUUUCUUGGCAGAGCCCAAAUCUACUUUUCAGGAGAGAUGAAGGCAUUACCAUGAUCUGAUGAUUUUUAAUUCAAGCAUGAUCACCACUGAGAAGCAAAAGGAUACAACUUCACAUACUGGCUUCACACCCAGUGCAGAGCCCAUCGUGGGGCUUGAACUCACAACCCUG